CAUCACUACGCUAGAUGCAUAUCAAUAAGCGGAGGAAAAGAAACUAACUAGGAUUCCCUCAGUAACGGCGAGUGAAGCGGGAAGAGCUCAAAUUUGAAAUCUUCAAGGUUCUACCUUGACGAAUUGUAGUUUAAAGAAGUGUUUUCUGUUGGAGUUUUGGUAAAAGUUCUUUGGAAUAGGACAUCAUAGAGGGUGAGAAUCCCGUAUUUGACCAUUAUUUCCAACUUUGUGAUACACUUUCAACGAGUCGGAUUGUUUGGGAAUGCAGUCCAAAAUGGGUGGUAAAUUUCAUCUAAAGCUAAAUAUUGGCGAGAGACCGAUAGCGAACAAGUACCGUGAGGGAAAGAUGAAAAGAACUUUGAAAAGAGAGUUAAACAGUACGUGAAAUUGUCAAAAGGGAAGCGUUUGACACCAGUGUUGUUUUUCCGAAAAUCAAUUACGAAUGUUUUGUUUUUAAGAAGUUAUGACUUCAUCGGCUUGCUUCUUUCUUUACGAAACUUUCUUAAUGCACUUUUCGGUUAACAAGUCAACAUCAAUUUCUUUUGCUGUAAAAGGGUAUGAGGAAGGUGGCUUUCUUUUCGGAGAAAGUGUUUAUAGCCUUGUACCUCUGCAAUCGGAGAGAUUGAGGUCUGCAGCGUAGAUCCUUCGGGGUUAGAUACAUUUGUGCUAAGUUAUAGCUUUUCAUAGACAACUUGUUGACUAUGUUAAGUCUUGUAGCUUACUCGCUUAUGCUAUUUUACCUACGCUUAGGAUGUUGAUAUGCAUGACUGAUAU
rnacentral:rRNA from 1 species